rnacentral:lncRNA from 1 species
AGUGCAUAUUACUGUCCUAACACCUUCCAUAAUCAUUUCUUGCAAUUCUCUUUUUACUUUCUGUACGCUAGUUCGACUCUGAUUCCUAAGAGAAGACAAGAGGCCUUUAUCUAGCAUGAACCUGGUGCAAGUUUAGAGAAAGAAUGACUUUUUUUUUUUUUUUUUAAUGCAGGGUAGGAAGGAAGCAAAGUAGAAGAGACAGAAGGAGGGAAAGCCUGUGCAUGACAACCACUACUCUUUUGACAAUUUAAUGUCCAGCUGUUCUGUCAUUCUACUGUGGUGAUGGCUCUUUUAAGGUUCUUGCAGUACCUUGAUGAGACCUCCCUCUUCUAUAUAAUGAAUGUAACCACAAUGUGUAAUGACAGAGGCAAAGCUUGGAGUGAUACGGCUAUUUACCACAGAAUGCCAAGAAUCAGUGUCUACCAGGGAAAGCUAGGUAAGAGUUUCAGAGGAAGCAUGGAUCAGGGGACACUGAUUUUGGACUUUUUGCCUUUAGAAUAGUAAGAAAAUAUAUGUCUGAAGUUUUAAGCCAAUAUUUUUGGUACUUUGUUGUAGCAGCUGUAGAGGCAUAUAUUUAGUCUAUACAGUCAAGUCAAACCUUGUAAAUAUAAAACAAAUAUCUGUAUUUUGGUUAACAGAUACAUCAUAGUAUACUUAUUUAAAGAAAACUUUCUUUGAUCUAGUAAGUCUGGGAAGUACAUAUUAUAUCUCUAUUUUGUGGAAUAUGAUGGAUAAUUUUAUGUGUCAGCUUGACCAGGCCAUGGGUACUCAGAUGUUUGAACAUUUUUCUGGGUGUGCCCGUGAGGGUAUUUUUGGAUCAGGUUACCUGAGAUUAACAUUUUUUUUUUCUUUUUAUUUAGGGCCACACCUGCUACAUAUGGAAGUUCCUGGGCUGGAGUCAAGUUGGAGCUGCAGCUACAGGCUUAUACCAUAGCCACAGCAACACCAGAUCCAAGCCACAUCUAUGGGCUACAUUGCAGCUUGUGUGAAUGCCAGAUCCUUAAUCCACUGAGUGGAGCCAGGGAUCGAGCCCACAUCCUCAGGGACACUAUGUUGGGUAGCCACCAGGGGAACUCCUGAGAUUAACAUUUUGAUUGGUAAAAUAAAGAAGAUUGUCCUUCAUAAUGUGAGCAGGCCUCAUCUAAUCAGUUGGAAGCCUGAAUAGGACAAAUAGAAUGAUCCUUCCUUGAGUCAGAGUGGAAUUUCCAGCCGACUGCCUUCAGACUUCAUCUAUACCAUCGGCUCUCCUGGGUCUUAAGCCUGCUGGAACACUCUUCAGAUUUGAAUUUACUUCAUAAUUAUGUGAGCCAUAAUAUCUCACAAUAGAUAGAUGGAUAAAUCUAUACGCAUAAAACACAUCUUAUUGGUUCUCUUUCUCUGGAGAACUCUGAAUGAUAGAGAGAUUUAAGCUUAUUUUCAUAUAUUGACUAAAAAUUUCUACCAUAAAGUUACUUAUAUGACUUUGUUAAAACCACCUUUUUUGAAAUUUGACCAAUGAAAUGUAUAUUCAUUGAAUUCCUAUAAAAAUCACAUCCAAGUAGUUUUCACUUGGGAAAUGCACACACGUGUGUGUGUGUGUGUGUGUGUGUGUGUGUGUAUAACCAGCAUUGUGGUGUAGCUACAGGGACCUCGUAAAGCAUUUUUGUGAAAUCAAUACCCCAAGUAUUGUCGGCAAUACCUGCAGCUUCUCAAUUGCUACUCAAAAGCCACUACUGCCUGGAAGUGUGUACUAAUAGCGCUCUUCCAAUAACAGGAUUCCUGUUUCCUGGCCAGUCCAUAGUUCACUGAUCUAUUCUUUCUGACCAACGUAUGAACUUAGAGUAUAAUUUCAGUUGCUUAUAUGAGACAUUAGAAAUCAGGUCAUUCAAAGAACAAUCAGGACUAUGGACUCCAGAGAAGCCAACAGGUACAACUUAGUGGAGGUGAUAGCUGCGUAUGAAUUUUUGGUUAUUUCAACACAAUUAAUAGUUGGAAAUCUUUGAUUAAAAUAAGUAAUUAUAUGCAAAAUCAUGAAUGCAAAUGACAUGAAAGGCCACCGUGUUACUACUCAUAAAAAAUGGUCAAACUAAGUAGUAGUAUGCACAAAAUGAUUGGAUUUCAGUGGUUCCACAAAAACACAUUCAGUUGACGGAAAUGAGAAUUUUAUAGCAGUGAUAAAAUUGAAUAGGUUCUGUAUGCUGUCUUUUGAAGCAUGAAACCCAUUCAUAAUUAUUCUAUUGUUAACUGCCUUUUUUUAUUGAUUCACUACUUCUGUCAGUUAAUUUUUUAUCUUCUCAAAAUUGACUUGUAUUACAUUUCUAAGAACAGACUUAAUAAUGUACCAUAAAAAUAUAUUUACAUGGUUUUAUAGGAUUAACUCUUGUGCUUCCUCAAAAACUUUUCUCUUUUUUCCCCCAGUGAUAUUAUUUUUUGAUAUUAUUUUUUUGCUUUGAUUAUUCACUAUAAGUGCAUAUCCUUUGCUUUGGGGAGAUUUCUGUUUUGAUUGAUUUCUGCUUUGAGAUAUGCAUCUUUCUACUAUCACAUUAAUCCUUUUGAUUAAGAGCUUAAUGGAAAGUGUGGAUAUUCUGACCUAGGUACAGCAACUACAAAGUAGUUUGGCAUUACAAAAUCAAACGAGAAACCAACAAAUCACCUCAAUGGUUUUCAUCUUCCAAAAGGCUAAGUGUGUAAAUCGUGAGAAGGUAGUAAGCUUAUGCACUUGAGAGAAUUAUAAAAAUUAAAGAGCAUAUUAGAAGAAAGUAGGUUGCAACUAGCUGAGACAAGUCUUUAAGAAAAAUUAAAGGGAGAGAUUUGAAAGUAUGAAUAAAUUAUGUCAUUACAUUUUGGUCCUAUGUACUCUUCUCUUUAAUUCUGAUAUUAAGUCUUGAAUUAGAUAACUAGUUUUAAUAUUGUUGAUUCUCACCAGGGUAUUUUCAAAAUGUCUAAGUAUUUAGGCUUAUUUUCCAAAUUAGUUACUUUCAAUGACUAAACAUUAAUUUAUUUUGGGGUACUUUUUUGUGACCCUCAUUGUUGCAAAUAUUAGAUAAUUAUUUUGAAUGUAUACUUUCUAAUGUCCAAGUCACUCCAUAAUGGAUAACGAAAUGACUAAUAGAAUAUCUCUAAUUAUUAAAUGCGAAAAGGAAAAUAUUCAAUGAGCUAUAAAUUACUGACCAUUGUUAUUACUUCCAGGAUAUAUUCAGCAUACAUGCACUCAAGUUUUAAUGUAUUAUGAUACACAAUUUUAUCCUUACUAAGAAAUUAUAAAGGAGCAAUAUUAUUUUUUAAUAAACUGUACAAAUAUAUUUAGGUAAUUGUUCAACAAAUUUAGUGGUUGUUUUAGUAUCAUCAAAAGUACUUUCAGGAGUUCCCGUCGUGGCGCAGUGGUUAACGAAUCCGACUAGGAACCAUGAGGUUGCAGAUUCGGUCCCUGCCCUUGCUCAGUGGGUUAAAGAUCUGGCGUUGCGUGAGCUGUGGUGUAGGUUGCAGAUGGCGGUUCGGAUCCUGCGUUGCUGUGGCUCUGGCGUAGGCCGGUUGCUACAGCUCCGAUUGGACCCCUAGCCUGGGAACCUCCAUGUGCCACGGGAGCGGCCCAAAGAAAUAGCAAAAAAAGACAAAAAAAAGUACU